UCAUAGUUUUCAAGGGAAUUUUGUGUUUGAAUAUGGAAAUACACAUUUAUAAAUACAUUCAUACAGAAAUGAGAAGAAAUUUCCAAAAAAAAUGUUGAUACUACAAUAACAGUUUCAUCUGCUUACUCUUCUUUGAAUAGAUGUAGGAUUCCUUUAGUGACUUCGACGAAUGGGUUACCGGAAAAAAAAUUAAUCUGAUCAGGUGGUGAAGAACGUGCAGUAGCUCCGUCACUUUCUCCAGGACCAGCAUUGAGUGCAGAAUUAGAACUAUGAGUUUCUUCAGAAUGUACUCUUGUUGAAGAAUUGGAUUUUUCGGGUCCACGAGAUGGAAAAAGUGGAUUUGGCCUUUCGGUGACACUGGCAUAGCUCUCAACUGUAACAUCUUUGGGUUCUCGACGUCCUCGCAUUUUUCUAGCAGCCAUUGCACCUUAAAGAUUGGUUACUUAUGUAUAAUUGACAGCAUUCAUUAUGAGUCAAUAAAAAAUCAUAACGUUGCAGAUUCACUUAUUAGAAUGAAAGGAUAUAAGAAGAAUGCUGAAUCAAGUCGUUUCCAUUCAUGGUGCUAGGUGGUGGUGCUUGGUCCUUUGAUUUUCUACGAACUACUUGCCUUUGAUGCUCAUAUUCAAAGUCUUCUUCGCUCAAAUUCAGUCUGUGAACCUGC
rnacentral:misc_RNA from 1 species